UAGCUGUGAAGAUAUUUGUGCUAAAUGUGAUAGAUGGGUCUGUCCAAAUGUCUUAUUUAUAGACAAAAUGAGCACAUCUGAGCUC